AGAGUUUGAUCAUGGCUCAGAACUAACGCUGGCGGCGUGCCUAACACAUGCAAGUCGUACGAGAAAGUUGGCUUCGGCCGAUGAGUAAAGUGGCGCACGGGUGAGUAACGCGUGGAUAAUCUACCUUUUAGUUUGGAAUAACGUACCGAAAGGUGCGCUAAUACCGGAUAAUGCUGCACAACUACUGUUGUGUCGUCAAAGAAGGCUUCUGUUUACAUGCUUUUGCUGAAAGAUGAGUCCGCGUACCAUUAGCUAGUUGGUAGGGUAAUGGCCUACCAAGGCUACGAUGGUUAGCUGGUCUGAGAGGAUGAUCAGCCACACUGGAACUGAGACACGGUCCAGACUCCUACGGGAGGCAGCAGUGAGGAAUAUUGCGCAAUGGGGGCAACCCUGACGCAGCAACGCCGCGUGAGUGAGGAAGGUUUUCGGACCGUAAAGCUCUGUCGAGCGGGAAGAAAUGCAUGGUGGCUAAUAUCCAUCAUGCUUGACGGUACCGCUAAAGGAAGCACCGGCUAACUCCGUGCCAGCAGCCGCGGUAAUACGGGGGGUGCAAGCGUUGUUCGGAAUUAUUGGGCGUAAAGAGCGUGUAGGCGGCUGAAUAAGUCAGAUGUGAAAUCCCUGGGCUUAACCCAGGACGUGCAUUUGAAACUAUUCAGCUUGAGUAGGGGAGAGGAAAGUGGAAUUCCUGGUGUAGAGGUGAAAUUCGUAGAUAUCAGGAGGAACACCGGUGGCGAAGGCGACUUUCUGGCCCUAUACUGACGCUGAGACGCGAGAGCGUGGGUAGCAAACAGGAUUAGAUACCCUGGUAGUCCACGCUGUAAACGAUGUUCACUA
rnacentral:rRNA from 1 species